UCUGUUGCUGUCUAUAAUUAGUUUUGGGCAAAACUGUUUAAAGGUUGAAGUUUAAAGGUAAAAUUAGCAGCUGUCACCAACAAAAUCAAAUUGUUGGAUGUGGAUAAGAUACCUAUUUCAAAACACCAUAGGUGGGUGUCUGGAAAGUUCCUCGCAAUUUUAGAGGCCACAGAGAGGGGAGAGCAAUCAAGUUUCUAAUCGAUAUUGUAAACACUGCUGAUAUGCUCAUAUGAAUGAAUAAUUUCCGUAAAAAGAAAUUUAUCGAAAUGCCGCUUUAGCCCAGUGCUUGUACCUAUUAGAUAAAAUGUCCGUUUGCGUUCAUUGCCUUUGAGAACUAUGUGGAGUACGGGAAGCGACUUUGAUUGACUUCAGCAAGCAUCGGACAGGGGUUAAGAAGCAGAUUCUUGCAGCCUCACCGUUUCAUUGAUGACUUGAUUUGGAACGCGUAAGGAGUCAGCCAAAGCAACGUUGAUGAUAUAGGCUUCAUGGAGAAGUAGGUAUAUAGGAGAUAAGUAUAAAAAUGCUGUGCGGCUUCGAUCCCGUUCUGAACCAGCCAUUCACGGCCAGAGCUACUUUAUUAGGUGUGAAACAUGAUAUUGAAUGAGCAGAGCUGGUUCUUAUAGACACAUUUUCAAUAGCCAAAAUGACUAUAAUAAAUAUUAAGCAGAA